GAAAUGAAUGCUUCUGACAACGGAAGUCCUUUCAACGGGUUGCCACCGGAGAUAAUAUGCCACAUUUUCGACUAUUUGGAUCUGGAUACGCUAAAAUCAGUUUCCCUGACCAGUCGACGAAUGGAGCGCAUCUUUUCAAGCUACAGCUCUGUUCGAUUUACUUUGUUCAUCGAUGAUGAUAGCUGCCUGAAUGUUAAGAAGCCUUCUGGUGAUUCUAAUAUUUCCCAUGACUCAGUGGAAUCCAUAGCUAAAACGUUGCAGCAGUCAUCGCGCUACUACCAUACAGUAUAUCUACCAGUGCAUUUCAAAGAGCCCUAUUUCGAACAAAGCAUGUAUAGUGUGCUCAGCAAGGUAUUGGAAACGGAUUGGCUACAACAGUUGAUCGUAUUGAAACUCGCAAUGGGUCACGAUUCACAAAAGUAUGUUGCGCAGAUAUCAGCCGCGCUGCCUAAAAUGGAUUAUCUACAGGAACUGAAGUUCAUUAAAACACGUGGUACGCCAGAUGCUGAACUUUUUAAAGAAUUAAAGAUAGAAAAUGGCUCUCUUCAGCGCUUGGUUCUGGAAGUAGUGUUGCCGAAUGUGAUUAACUGCCCAAAACUUCGUAACCUUGACAUCGCAGCUCAACUCGACGCAGAGGUGCAAUUUGGUAAACAAUACGCUCAAUACGAUGGCCAGGAACCGUACUGGAAGCUAAAGCAAUUGGAGGAAUUCAGAAUUACAAAACACAAAUCGAUCGGUAGACGGAUUUUUACGCAACAUAGCUUCGGAUUCAAGUUCAAGUUCUACCAACAUCUUACACGGCUAAAGAAACUUCACAUUUACGAAACACCCGUAUCGGAAAAAUUUCUUCAGAGUAUUUGUGAGUCGUGCUUGCAUCUAGAGGACCUGUUUAUUACUUUCUUGCAGGUAACCGAUUCAAAUUCUUUAAGUUGCCUAUCAAAUCUACCUGAUUUACGACGGCUCGGAAUCUGGCAGAACAAGACACUGGAGCUUUCGUUCGCUUCCGUUAAUGCUCCCAAGCUUGAAAACCUUACCCUAGGCCCAGUGAAUGUAGUUUGGGAAUCACUAGAACAGUUGCAAUCGAUCAAAUCACUCUCUAUAAGAACAAAUCGUUUUGCCGAUGUACACAUCCCCCUUUCCUUUGCCACAAGCUUGAAGCAGCUAGGAUUUUUGUGGGUUGAUUUCCGUUUCGUUGAAGAUCGUAGGACCCAGAGACAAAUGUGUCAAGUUUUGAAAGAACUACCAGGUCUGAAGACGCUUAUCUUGGAGCAUCUGGUGGAGAGCGUACAUUCACCAAUAAUAAUUCCAUUACCUCAAGUGACACGUUUGGUGCUGAAUAGAUGUUUCAUGAAUCAAGGCGCGGCGUUUGUUGCUGGGCGGUUUCCUAACGUAAAACGAGUCGAACUGAAAGUUCCGAAAUGUUUUGCAUGUGAGUACGAAGAGAGCGUGCAUGAAGGAAUGUUACGCCAUCGUAACCAAUCAGCUGUAUUCAAAAAAGCUGCACAGGAUAGCUCUAGAGAAGUUAAUUGAGGAAUAAUUAAAAAUUAAGGAAGAAAUGAAUUAUGUUAGCUUACAUGAAAUUAAAAGGAAUUAAUGGCAGAAAACAAACGGCUGAACACCGAACGCGGUUACAGCAAACGAUUAAGAAUCGGUUAAGAAAGAAGCACGCCGGACAAACGAUAAUUCGUGAGGUUUCACACAGGUUCUCUGUUAGUAAAAAAUGAGCAUGCGAAACAGUGUAACUAGGUACAUUAGGUGUAGGAAGAUUUAAUUUGCACUACAUGUUUCAGGUUAACAAAACCGUUUGGUUCACGGUUUUUCCGUCUUAUUUGUAUACUGUCGUCAUUCCAAUUUGAAUUAUAAUCGCAAACAACGAUGGAUUUGGACAUUGAAAUGUAAGAAGAACAAGAAUUUAAGAAGAAAGAAUUACGUUGUUGAACAUAUUAAGGUACAUGUUUAAAAAAAUUAAUUGUUUUGACAAACGUACGCUUUAGUUGUUUUCUUUCCAAUCUUUCGUGAGCGAGGAUUAUAAGCCAUGAACAAGUGCCUUUACAAAUUUCAACAUUCUGUUUUACAAACUGUGCAGUCAGUUUUUAGUUUUCCACAUUUCAUAAUUUCCUUGUACAUUUACAUAAGUGCAGAAGACCGUCACUAUGGCGUACAACAAACACGUGUGACAUUACUGCCAAUUCAAAUAGACCGAAACAAUAUUCAACAAUUGAAUCAAAAAUUUAUAUUCCUAGAAGAGAGCCUUCAAACAUAAGUCUCAAAGUAGAGGUAAUAAACGUACACAUCUUCGAUGACAACUACAACGACGAGACGCAGGAAACAGAACGUGAGUUGCCGGAAAUAUAAUACAAAUAAACGGGGUUUCAACAAAAGAUAGUCAUUACUGGUCGAGAUCAUUUGUAUUCCACAUAAAAGUUAAGAAAACAGCGCCUCAGAAAUGAACUCUUCCGGCAGCGUACUUCCUUUCGACGAGUUGCCAACCGAGAUAAUAUGGCACAUAUUCGCCUAUUUGGACCUGGACACGCUAAAAUCAGUUUCCCUGACCAGUCGCCGCUUGGAGCGCAUCUUUUCAAGCUACAGCUGUUUUCGUUUUACGUUGUUCAUCGAUGAUAGUAGCAGGCUUAAUCUUCCGGGUGAUACGUAUGUUUCCCAUGGCUUUAUGGAAUCCAUAGCUAAAACGUUGCGUCACUCAAAGCGUUACUAUCAGAAAGUACAUCUACCUGUGCAGUUGUAUAGUGUACUCAGCAAGGAAUUGGAACCGAAUUGGUUACAACAAUUGGUCGUACUAAACCUUACAAUGGGCCACGAUUUACAAAAUUACAUUACGCAGAUAACAGUCGCGCUGCCUAAAAUGGAUUAUCUACAGGAACUGAAGUUCAUUAAAAUACGUGGUACGCCAAGUGCCGAACAUUUUAUAGAAUUAAAGAUAGAAAAUGGCUCUCUUCAGCGACUGGUUCUUGAAGUAAUGUUGCCAAGUGUGAUUAACUGCCCAAAGCUUCGCAAGCUUGACGUCGGAGCUCAACUUGACGCAGAUACGCAGUUUGGCGAACAAUAUGCUCAAUACGAUGGACAGGAACCGUACUGGAAGCUAAAGCAACUGGAGGAAUUCAGAAUUACAAAACACAAAUCGAUCGGUAGACGGAUUUUAAUGCAACAUAGCCCCGAAUUCAAGUUCAAGUUCUACCAACAUCUUACACAGCUAAAGAAACUUCACUUUUACGAACCACCCGUAUCGGAAAAGUUUCUUCAGAUUAUUUGUGAAUCGUGCCUGCAUCUAGAGGACCUGUUUAUUACUUUCUUGCAGGUGAUCGAUUCAAAUUCUUUAUGUUGCCUAUCAAACCUGCCUGAUUUACGACGGCUCGGAAUCUGGCAGAGCACGAUAUCGCAUCUUCCGUUCUCUUCCGUUAAGGUUCCCAAGCUUGAACACCUUACGCUGGGCCCAGUGAAUGUAGUAUGGGAAUCAUUGGAACAGUUCCAAUCGAUCAAAUCACUUUGUAUAAGACAGAACGAUUUUGCCAAUAUACUCAUCCCUCUAUCCUUUGCCAAACAAAUGAAGCAACUAGAAUUUUUGUGGAUAGAUUUCCAUUUCGUUGGAGAUCCUAAGAUCCAAAGAAAACUGUUUCAAGUUUUGGAAGAACUAACACAUCUGAAGACACUUAUCUUGGAUCAUCUGGUGGUUAGCGAACAUUUACCAAUAAUGCCACCAUUGCCUCAAGUGAAACGUCUGAUACUGCAUGAGUGUUACAUGAAGCAAGAUUCAGCAGUUCUUGCUGGGCGAUUUCCUAACGUAGAACGAGUCGAGCUGAAAAUUCCGAAAUAUUUUGCAUGUGACUACGAAGAAAGCCUCUAUGUAGAAAUGUUUCGUCGUCGUAACUUUGGACUUGUAUUAGUAACUGAUUCUUAAUACUUUAUGGUUUGUAUAAAAAUAAAAAAUAAAAAACAAUGUAACUAAA